rnacentral:rRNA from 1 species
UGGGGAAUUUUGGACAAUGGGGGAAACCCUGAUCCAGCCAUCCCGCGUGUGCGAUGAAGGCCUUCGGGUUGUAAGCNCUUUUGGCAGGAAAGAAACGUCGCGGGUUAAUACCCCGCGAAACUGACGGUACCUGCAGAAUAAGCACCGGCUAACUACGUGCCAGCAGCCGCGGUAAUACGUAGGGUGCAAGCGUUAAUCGGAAUUACUGGGCGUAAAGCGUGCGCAGGCGGUUCGGAAAGAAAGAUGUGAAAUCCCAGAGCUUAACUUUGGAACUGCAUUUUUAACUACCGGGCUAGAGUGUGUCAGAGGGAGGUGGAAUUCCGCGUGUAGCAGUGAAAUGCGUAGAUAUGCGGAGGAACACCGAUGGCGAAGGCAGCCUCCUGGGAUAACACUGACGCUCAUGCACGAAAGCGUGGGG